CGAGCGUCAUUACACCACUCAAGCCUCGCUUGGUAUUGGGCGACGCGGUCCGCCGCGCGCCUCAAAUCUCCCGGCUGGGUUCGAUCGUCCCUCAGCGUUGUGGAAACUAUUCGCUAAAGGUGCACUUUCGGGUCACGCCGUCAAACAAACCCCAUUAAAAGGUUGACCUCGGAUCAGGUAGGGAUACCCGCUGAACUUAA
rnacentral:misc_RNA from 1 species